rnacentral:rRNA from 1 species
GACGUAGGGCGCGAGCGUUGUCCGGAUUUAUUGGGCGUAAAGAGCUCGUAGGCGGUUUGUCGCGUCGUCCGUGAAAACUCACAGCUUAACUGUGAGCUUGCGGUCGAUACGGGCAGGCUAGAGUUCGGUAGGGGAGACUGGAAUUCCUGGUGUAGCGGUGAAAUGCGCAGAUAUCAGGAGGAACACCGGUGGCGAAGGCGGGUCUCUGGGCCGAAACUGACGCUGAGGAGCGAAAGCGUGGGGAGCAAACAGG